GCCGUGGCCGAGUGCUUGGGGGCGUGUUUCCGGCUUUCAGAAGUGGUGGGGGGAUUCGGUGGGUGCGAGGUCACUCAUCAGAUGUGUAACCUGCUCUCCGCUGAAGCGAACCUCUGAGUUGAAAUGAGACGUGGUGAACAAGGUCCCCAGGGAGCAAAUCUGAAAGCCGACUCCUCCAAAACACAGACUACCAUGGGGCGAGACGACAUUAGACUUUGUCCCCAAGUAUACCAGCAUCACUUCCUUCAGACUGAGGCGGUGAGACUAAGAAGUAAUGGGACAGUUCCUCUUCCUACCCUCCUCGGAAGGCAGUGUGUGCCUCUCGACUUUAGACAGCAUCCUUGAUGGCUAAAAUUCUACAGCCUGAUUGUUGAAUCUAGUGAACGCAAGCUUGUGAUAUUGUGAGGAUAAUAACUACAGUUUACUGAAUGUCUGCUUAUUGGCAGGCAUAUUGGCAGGCUAUAUGUAUCUAUGGGAGCCUCGAGGGCUACAGUCCAUGGGGUCGCAAAGAAUCCGAAAGGACUGAACUCAGUGAGAUUUCUAUGCUUCACACCCUUAACCUAAAUUCCUCAAAAUCCCCAAUCUUCUAAAAUAGCCAUUAUUUUAUUUUUAUUUAUUAUUUAUAGAUGAGCAUAUUUUAAAGCUUAGAUAAA